AAAAGAUGCACAUGACCCAGGCUUCUCUCGACCUGCAAGCCCUGACCCCAGGAUCGGGCAUAGUCUUCGCCAGGCUUUGGGGUGAAGCGAAAUCAACUUAAAAUCCUGGCGCACAUCUAGGGGAAUCACAGCGGAAGGAGCUGAUGGGGGCAGUUGGCCCCGGCCAUGCCCAGGGCCCACUUGGUGCCCUCUUUCCAUGCCCCUGCCUACAGAUUGGAGCUGACCUGCAUCUCCAUCUCCACACGGCCUCCUUCCUCUCUGACACUCACCACCCUUUUGUGCAGCAGACAGAGUGCCCGGUUGGUGCCAGCUCUGUCCCUGGGCUCUUCUGCCCUGGGCAAUGUGAGACACUCAGAGUGAGCAGGUGACCUCAGGCUUGCCAUCUGCCUCACCUUCCUGGUUUCCCUUGACCUCCAUUCCCGCAUGCUGGGCUGUUCCAGUUCCAGCCAAAUCCCCGGAGCUGGAGGUCACAAGAGAGUCUGCCAUCAGCUGCAAGGCCACAGAAACCACCCCUCUUCCUCACCAGUAGCAGCAAAGCUGUCAGCCCCACCACACGGGAGGCCUCUUCCUCAACAACCAUGGGCAACUCAUUGAUGGACAUCAGCCGUGGCUCUGGAGACCCAAGAAACAAGAGACUGGGCCUACCCACUGGAGUUCUCCUGGAGAGACCAAACCAGAGUGAGUGGGAGCAGGAGGCACAGGACACGGAAGUCACAUGGAGGCUCAUGCUCAAAGGAGCCAUGCUCAAGCCAGUGCUCUGCUGUCUGUCUCGAUGGGCUCAGCUUCUGAACAAGUCAUGGCAUUUUUAUUUUGCACUGGGCCCCCCAAAUCAUGAAGCCAGUCCUGGAGAACAGUGGGGUGCUGGUGAGCAUUUAACGGCAAGAAAAGCCAGGCAUGGUGGUGCGUUCCUAUAGCCCCCUCAGUCUGGGAGGCUGAGGCAGGAAGAUGGCAAGUUCUGCCCAAGCCUGGGGAACUUAGCAAUUCAUCAAGACUUUGUUUCAAAAUCAAAGGCAGGGGGAGAGAGGGUGUUUCAGUGUGAAAGCUCAGAGUUCCAG
rnacentral:lncRNA from 1 species